rnacentral:rRNA from 1 species
UACGUAGGUGGCAAGCGUUGUCCGGAUUUAUUGGGCGUAAAGAGCGUGUAGGCGGCCAGGUAGGUCCGUUGUGAAAACUCGAGGCUCAACCUCGAGACGCCGAUGGAAACCAUCUGGCUAGAGUCCGGAAGAGGAGAGUGGAAUUCCACGUGUAGCGGUGAAAUGCGUAGAGAUGUGGAGGAACACCAGUGGCGAAGGCGACUCUUUGGCCUGUAACUGACACUGAGGCGCGAAAGCGUGGGGAGCAAACAGG